AUCAGGAGAGGUUGUUGGUGAAAGUUCAGCCUCAGUAGCAGUCCCAGGAUUGAAGUUUUGGUACCAUAAGCAGAGCCUAUGAGAGGCUUUUGGUGAAAGUGUAGCCCAGUUGUAGCAGAAGAUACUAGUGUUUUGGAGAGUAUCAUGUGAUGAACAUCAAGAACAACAGCAGAGGUAUAGUGGAUCCUAGCUGGGCUUAGAAGACAAGCUGUGCGUCCUGCAUAAGGUAGAAGAAGAGAAGUAACCCAAGCCCGUUGGAGGAGCUCAGAAUAUGAAGCCCUGUGUAAACCUUAGGUCCUUGACUCAUCUUUCAAAUCCAGUUGUGGCAUCUAUGAAGGUUUUGUACUGUUACAGUGGGGUAGUUUUCAGAACCAGCUGUGAUUUUUUUUGAUGAAGGACCUCCUGCUGUAAACCUUCAUCAUGGAUGACUCAUGUGAAGCUGGCUGUGUCAUGCCACCAGAGUUUCAGGUGCUUAGCAAAGCUGGAGCUUCGGCAUGUCAGGGAUAAUUUCUCUGAAGCUAAGCCAUUACUGCGGGUGUAAUCAGGCACUCGGUGAUGGAUGUUCUGACAUGAGGCAGAGAUUUUAUAUUUUACUUUAACAAGCAUGCUUGAGUUUAGAGGAGGAGAGAGCCAUUCUCCAACUCCAAAGCCAGCUUUUAAUCUUUACUUGGACUGAGGCUACAAAAAGACUAAACGGAUUACAUGUUUGUAUAGAAGUAAGAAACAAACAUUUGGGAAGAAUUAUGAAAUUUUACCCUGUUGUAAAUGUGCUAUACCAAUAGGCCAAUUUACCCUUCUCCAACCCUAAAUUUUGGGGAAGUUCUCCUUGGCAUUAUAUCUAUUCAAAUGAAAAUCAUUUGUAAAUAUUAUGGGUUAGUUAAGAUUAAACAACCAUGCUGCUUCAAGAACUGUCAUCUCUUCUUGUUAAGAGGUAUCCUGUUUAAAAUGAAUCCUUAUAAAUUUUGAUGGUAUCCAUAUUUUUUCUUUACCUGUAGAAACAAAAGCAAAAUCCCUUCCUUCCCCAAUGCAACAUAUGUCCCAGUUUCCAUUCAAGAGUCAACAUAUCUUUGAAAUACACUGGUUGGUUUAAUUCUCUAGUUUUUCUCUAUUAUCUACGGUCUCUAUGCAGUUGUUGUUCCCUUUACAUUUGCAUUUAGAAAAUUCAAAGUUAAUAAAGAGCUACACAAUCUA